CGGAUGUUAGCUCAGCUGGCAGAGCGGUGGUUUGAAACACCACAGAUCCUGGUUCGACCCCAGGGCAUCCGA
rnacentral:tRNA from 1 species